rnacentral:rRNA from 1 species
AGGACGAACGCUGGCGGCGUGCCUAACACAUGCAAGUCGAACGCGCUCCAUUCGGUAGCAAUACUGAUGAAGAGUGAGUGGCGAACGGGUGAGUAACACAUGAGCAACCUGCCCCGAAGACUGGGACAACACCGGGAAACCGGUGCUAAUACCGGAUAUCCCUAUCGGACCGCAUGAUCUGAUAAGGAAAUGGAUUCCGCUUCGGGAGGGGCUCGUGGCCUAUCAGCUAGUUGGUGAGGUAACGGCUCACCAAGGCAUCGACGGGUAGCUGGUCUGAGAGGACGAUCAGCCACACUGGGACUGAGACACGGCCCAGACUCCUACGGGAGGCAGCAGUGGGGAAUCUUGCGCAAUGGGCGAAAGCCUGACGCAGCAACGCCGCGUGGAGGACGAAGGCUUUCUGAGUUGUAAACUCCUUUCAGCAGGGACGAUAGUGACGGUACCUGCAGAGAAGCACGGCCAACUACGCGCCAGCACGG